AGCGGCGGACGGGUGAGUAACGCGUGGGUAACCUGCCUCAUACAGGGGGAUAACAGUUGGAAACGGCUGCUAAUACCGCAUAAGCGCACAGUACCGCAUGGUACGGUGUGAAAAACUCCGGUGGUAUGAGAUGGACCCGCGUCUGAUUAGGUAGUUGGUAAGGUAACAGCUUACCAAGGCGACGAUCAGUAGCCGACCUGAGAGGGUGACCGGCCACAUUGGUACUGAGACACGGCCCAAACUCCUACGGGAGGCAGCAUG
rnacentral:rRNA from 1 species